AUUGAACGCUGGCGGCAGGCUUAACACAUGCAAGUCGAACGAGUGGCGGACGGGUGAGUAAUGCUUGGGAAUAUAGCUUAUGGAGGGGGAUAACUACGGGAAACUGUAGCUACUACCGCGUACCAUAGGAUGAGCCCAAGUGGGAUUAGGUAGGUGGUGGGGAAAAGGCUCACAAAGCCGACGAUCUCUAGCUGGUCUGAGAGGAUGACCAGCCACAGUGGGACUGAGACACGGCCCAGACUCCGACGGGAGGCAGCAGUGGGGAAUAUUGCGCAAGGGGGGAAACCUGACGCAGCCAUGCCGCGUGAAUGAAGAAGGCCUUCGGGUUGUAAAGUUCUUUCGGUAGCGAGGCGUUAACUACAGAAGAAGCACCGGCUAACUCCGUGCCAGCAGCCGCGGUAAUUC
rnacentral:rRNA from 1 species